rnacentral:rRNA from 1 species
AUUGAACGCUGGCGGCAGGCCUAACACAUGCAAGUCGAGCGAGCGGCGGACGGGUGAGUAAUGUAUGGGGAAUGCCCGAUAGAGGGGGAUAACUACUGGAAAAGGUAGCUAAUACCGCAUACUAUCGGAUAAGCCAUAUGGGUUUUGCUAGUUGGUGAGGUAAUGGCUAACCAAAGCGACGAUCCCUAGAUGGUCUGAGAGGAUGCUCGGCCACACUAGUACUGAGACACGGCCCAGACUCCUACGGAGGCAGCAGUGGGGAAUAGUGCGUAAUGGAGGCAACCCUGACGCAGCUAUGCCGCGUGAAUGAAGAAGGCCUUCGGGUUUUAAAGUUCUUUCGGUAGCGAGGCGUUAACUACAGAAGAAGCACCGGCUAACUCCGUGCCAGCAGCCGCGGUAAUAC